GCUCGGCUAGCUCAGUCGGUAGGGCAUGAGACUCUUAAUCUCAGGGUCGUGGGUUAGAGCCCCAUGUUGGGUG
rfam:Danio rerio chromosome 4, GRCz11 reference primary assembly.